rnacentral:sRNA from 1 species
GCACCUCCCUCCGCGCCCGCGUACCG